rnacentral:lncRNA from 1 species
CCUUGGCACAAGUUAAAAUCAUAAACAAUUAUUCAGUUUAAACAGGUGGGGGGGGGGGACCACUGCAGAUAGAAAGGGAAAUUCCUCAUCGCGCGUGACAAAAAGAGCAGUUUUCCAAAACGAAAGGUUAAGACAUAUGAGUGGAAAUUUGAAGUUUCCUAGUGCCAAUGCGUAUUUUUAAAAUUUAAAGCCCGUUCAUUUGCAUGUUUUGAUUAAGCAUCCUUAAGUUCUGACUUGUGGUCAUACCGAUCAGGUAUUUCUUAGUAUUUUAUCAUGAUUAGGAACAUGAAAAAUCUGAAAUACGAGAAAACAAAUAUUUGAAUAUUUUUAUGAAUGUAUGUGUAAAAAAGACAUCGUGGAAAUUACUACAGACAGGCUGUAUUGUGCUGCAAAACUCACUCUGUCAAAUCACGGUACAAUGAAGACCUAAUCACACACGAUGCUGUGUUGCGUUAAUUCAAAUUCUCAUCGAUUCCCGCUGCAGUCUCUGAUUGGCCGAUUAUUUCAAGCGUGACGCCACAAAAACUUCAACAAUAUUCUCUGUGAAUUAUAAAUUUACAAUCAAUUGAAUAUUGGAAUUUUCUAAGCCACUGAUAAGAUAAGUUAACACACUUUUGUUCAUGAUAUAAUACAGAAUAUAUUUAACGAUUACUAAAAUUUGGUUAGCAAAAAUGGCGAUCCCUGGAGUUGCUCGCUUUGUUCGAUUUUGGAUGAGAGUGUUUGUAUUCCUGCGCACGCAAACAGCUGAUUCUCCAAUGAAAAAAUAACAAAACACGAUUAGUGAUCUGUUGGUCGGCUGUACGCAUGUCUCGUGUUUGCCGAGUAAACCCUUCAGCACCUAUUAGAAUACCUAUCCCUUUAGGUAUGUAAGCUCAUUUUAAGUAGUUUUUGUUCGUUUAGCUGUCUAUUUUGUUCCCGUUCUUUUCUAAAGAAUUUCCAUGAAAAUUUAGUGAGCGUUUCGUUGUCUAACUCGAUUAGCUGCAGCUCAUUUCUUUGCCUUCAUCGUAAAUCCUCAAGCAUUCCUACCCGAAGACUCAACCAUGCAAACUCGAAAAGUUUUUUAGCAUCCAGGUAAAUUACAUUAUGAUAGUACUUAGUUUGACAUAAUUUGUCCUUCAUUAUCAUCCCUGAACUGUGAGUUUGUAGGAUUACAAAACCUAGAUUCUAUCAAAUAAAUACUGCACUGCCAGUAGGUAAGCAGACCGCUCUCUACUUACAUUUUUGGCAACUUUCUUGAGGCGUUAUAAUAUUCUGUUCCUCAAGUUCCUUAACCUCUAGGUAAACAAGGUAAGACAAGUGUUUAUUUUUCACCUGACUGUCAGCCUCUGCUAAAUGCUCAUUUACAUUGUCGCACAGAAUUUCGUAUUUCGUUUUCAGUUCUUAAAGUGCUGCUUAUUUAGUCAGUUAGUCGUCACAACAUGAAUGAACGUUCUUUUUGAAUCUCUACGGAAGUAGAUUGUUCUUCACAUACCUCCGAUCU